UACGAAGGGACCUAGCGUAGUUCGGAAUUACUGGGCUUAAAGAGCUCGUAGGUGGUUAGAAAAGUUGGUAGUGAAAGCCCAAGGCUUAACCUUGGAACUGCUAUCAAAACUUUUUAACUAGAGUAUGAUAGAGGAAAGUGGAAUUUCUAGUGUAGAGGUGAAAUUCGUAGAUAUUAGAAAGAACACCGAUUGCGAAGGCAGCUUUCUGGAUCAUUACUGACACUGAGGAGCGAAAGCAUGGGUAGCGAAGAGG
rnacentral:rRNA from 1 species